rnacentral:lncRNA from 1 species
AUGAGGAUGACACCCACCGCCUGUGCUCUUCUGCUGGCUCUAAUCUGCAGCGUCCAGCUGGGUGAGAAAGAAGCGGGCAGGGCUGAGAGGAAACAGGUGGCCCUGCUCCUUCACCGUCAUUGCCAUCCCAGGGUCUCAGCUGUCACUAUUGCAGACAUUUGCCAGGGGAGGUUUCAGUGAAUUCUGACCUCUGCUGCUUUCUUAUCUUGCCUCAUCCACCACAGGGGAUGCCUGCCUGGAUUUCUAUAAGUUGUUUGGGAGAGUUGCUUUUGCAUACCCAGAGGACCUGAAGCGGGAGCUUGCUCAAUACAACCCCAGCCCCCUGACAGAGGAGUCCUUCCUCAAGUUCUAGCAAUGCUUUGCCUCUGUUUCAUUCCCAGAAAGCCUUGCUGUUGUUGGAAUAUGGUAA